UUUUUCUUUCCCCUGCAUCGCUGUAAGGGGAUGGUGUUGAAUGAGGGAGAGUAGUUUUUGCCUUGGGUGAUUGACCCACACAAAAGAACUAACCAGAUCCUGAGAGGUGGCCA